rnacentral:rRNA from 1 species
GAUGAACGCUGGCUACAGGCUUAACACAUGCAAGUCGAGGGGCAGCAUGGGGUUUGCUUGCAAACCCCGAUGGCGACCGGCGCACGGGUGAGUAACGCGUAUCCAACCUUCCCGCGACUCGGGUAUAACCUGCCGAAAGGCAGACUAAUCCCCGAUGUCCUCCACUUGAGACAUCUUUGGUGGAGCAAAGGCUUCGGCCGGUUGCGGAUGGGGAUGCGUCCGAUUAGCUUGUUGGCGGGGCAAUGGCCCACCAAGGCUUCGAUCGGUAGGGGUUCUGAGAGGAAGGCCCCCCACAUUGGAACUGAGACACGGUCCAAACUCCUACGGGAGGCAGCAGUGAGGAAUAUUGGUCAAUGGGCGGAAGCCUGAACCAGCCAAGUAGCGUGCAGGAUGACGGCCCUAUGGGUUGUAAAACUGCUUUUAUGCGGGGAUAAACCGGGG